GUGGUGCAGUAUUUUGAGUUUCAGUUUGAGUGUGUUCUAAUCGAUUUGCGUCCUUAUUGAUGUAUUGAUGCAUUGCAGGGUGCACUACCGGGCGAUGGCGGGGCGGCGAGGCCAUGCCCGAGAAAGAUAUGUCCACUGCCGUGCACACUCCAGUCCUGCAGAUUCAGGUAGAUAUUAUAUUUGCAGAUUUCCCUAUCUCCAUAUGCAAACAGGCUAAACCUUGCAGUCACUAAUGAUCGCCUUCAACUUAGCAGAUAUUUGUAUUUGUUCACAGAGAGAAGUUCACUGAAUGAUUUCAGUGUGCGUUCUCUUCCACAAUAGAGUUUGCUCUAGCUCUUUAAUAUCUUGUUUGCAUUUUUUUUUAGUUUCAGUAGGUAGUACAGAAAUGAUAAAAUUUUAUGCUUUUUAAAGUUUUUUUAUAUCUAAAUGGAAGUAUGGAAGGAAUCUGUAAUAUUUUUUUUGUCCUUCAUGGCGAUGUGUCAUUGUUUUAUUUGUUAUAGGACGAGGAAGAGGGCGGCAUCAGGCAAAAACCAGGAAGGCAACAUUUGAAAUCAUUUGUGCACUCUCUGGUGGCUGGUGACUUUCUACCUUCGUCAGGUGUCCGGGAUUCCUAGCAUCCAUGAACAUUGCAGCCCAUAGGUAUCCUCAUGUAUGCUCCCCAAUCUAUUUCCCUUUUUUCUUCCCCAUGCUUUCUCGAUUAUUCGAUGCACUUGGGCAUCCUCACAACAGUCAUAAUUUGCACAUUAUAUAUGCUCACAACAGUCAUUCAAUAUAGCUAUGCAAGCCAGCAAAAACGAACUGGAUUACAUGUAUGAAUAUAUUCUUUUAUUUUCCCUAACCGCGAUCAGUGACUAUUUCUGUAGCCAUAGCUCAUCAUGUGUUAACAUGUGACAUUUAAACUAAUCUUUUUUAUGUUAGUGAAGUUUACUGCAAGUUUUACACCUCCUAGCUGUCAACAGUUCAAGCUGCAGUCGUGUAGAAAGUGUCAAAAUGGUUUACCAAUCCAUACGCAAUUAUGUUCAAAGAAAGCUGUUAGGGAAGUAUAUUGUUUGGUCUUGUUUGCUAGCAAGGCGGUCUUACUGCAAUUAUUCAUUUUAUAUCUUGUGUUAUUUGUUACUGUGUGUGCCUUUCCGAAGUAAAGGAAACAGUUGUGACAGUGCCAUGUUCCACUACUGUUGCUUACAUUUUAUAUUGACGUAUUCGUAGUAGGAAAACUUCCUCACCCCCUCCAUACACGAUGUUGUCUC